AGCCUUUAGCCAAGCAAGUAUUAAAGGUCCCGCCUGCCCAGUGAAAGUUUUUAAACGGCCGCGGUAUUCUAACCGUGCAAAGGUAGCGUAAUCACUUGUCUUCUAAAUAAAGACCUGUAUGAACGGCUAAAUGAGGACAAGGCUGUCUCUUAUAACCAAUCAGUGAAACUGAUCUCCCAGUACAAAAGCUGGGAUAUACCCAUAAGACGAGAAGACCCUGUGGAGCUUUAAACAAACCACUAACCCAAACGGCCCUAGUGAAAUGUUUUAAGUUGGGGCGACUUCGGAACAAAACAGAACUUCCGAGCAAAGAGCCACCCGCUCUAACCAAGGCCAACAAGCCGAGGCCAAAAUUUGACCCGGCCUUACCGAUCAACGAACCAAGUUACCCCAGGGAUAACAGCGCUAUCUUCUUCAAGAGUCCCUAUCGACAAGAAGGUUUACGACCUCGAUGUUGGAUCAGGACACCCAAAUGGUGCAGCCGCUAUUAAAGGUUCGUUUGUUCAACGAUUAACAGUCCU
rnacentral:rRNA from 1 species